rnacentral:rRNA from 1 species
AUUGAACGCUGGCGGCAUGCCUUACACAUGCAAGUCGAACGGUAACAGGGAGCUUGCUCCGCUGACGAGUGGCGAACGGGUGAGUAAUGUAUCGGAACGUACCUUUUAGUGGGGGAUAACGUAGCGAAAGUUACGCUAAUACCGCAUAUUCUCUGAGGAGGAAAGCAGGGGACCUUCGGGCCUUGCGCUAAUAGAGCGGCUGAUAUCAGAUUAGCUAGAUGGUGAGGUAACGGCUCACCAUGGCUACGAUAGGUAGGGGGCCUGAGAGGGUGGUCCCCCACACUGGUACUGAGACACGGACCAGACUCCUACGGGAGGCAGCAGUGAGGAAUAUUGGUCAAUGGGCGCAAGCCUGAACCAGCCAUGCCGCGUGCAGGAAGAAUGCCCUAUGGGUUGUAAACUGCUUUUAUUUGGGAAUAAACCUCUUUACGUGUAGAGAGCUGAAGGUACCAAAUGAAUAAGCACCGGCUAACUCCGUGCCAGCAGCCGCAGUAAUAC